rnacentral:rRNA from 1 species
AUGUGUGUACCGAAGAAGAAAGGGGGCUUAGGAUUUAGAGACCUUCACGGUUUCAACCUUGCUUUACUAGCAAAACAGUGUUGGCGACUAAUCCAGAACCCGGACUCUCUCUCUGCAUGUGUACUAAGCGCAAAGUAUUAUCCAGAUGGGAAUAUUCUGAAGGCAGGCCCAAAGAAAGGCUCAUCGGUCACCUGGCAGAGUAUUGUUGCAGGGAUUCAAACCUUCAAAAGGGGAUGUAUAUGGUGUGUGGGCACAGGAGAGCAAAUAGAUAUAUGGCAGGAUCCAUGGAUCCCAUCGAGCCCCUCAAGGAAAGUGAUUACACCCCGAGGAACGAUCAUGCUAAGAUACAUGGAGGAACUGAUAGAUCCACAUAACAGACAUUGGGAUGAAGCCUAA